AUUGAACGCUGGCGGCAGGCCUAACACAUGCAAGUCGAGCGGAUGAAGGGAGCUUGCUCCUGGAUUCAGCGGCGGACGGGUGAGUAAUGCCUAGGAAUCUGCCUGGUAGUGGGGGAUAACGUCCGGAAACGGGCGCUAAUACCGUAUACGUCCUGAGGGAGAAAGUGGGGGAUCUUCGGUCCUCACGCUAUCAGAUGAGCCUAGGUCGGAUUAGCUAGUUGGUGGGGUAAAGGCCUACCAAGGCGACGAUCCGUAACUGGUCUGAGAGGAUGAUCAGUCACACUGGAACUGAGACACGGUCCAGACUCCUACGGGAGGCAGCAGUAGGGAAUAUUGGGCAAAGGGCGAAAGCCUGAUCCAGCCAUGCCGCGUGUGUGAAGAAGGUCUUCGGAUUGUAAAGCACUUUAAGUUGGGAGGAACGGCAGUAAGUUAAUACCUUGCUGUUUUGACGUUACCAACAGAAUAAGCACCGGCUAACUUCGUG
rnacentral:rRNA from 1 species